AUUGAACGCUGGCGGCAGGCCUAACACAUGCAAGUCGAGCGGAUGAAGGGAGCUUGCUCCUGGAUUCAGCGGCGGACGGGUGAGUAAUGCCUAGGAAUCUGCCUGGUAGUGGGGGAUAACGUCCGGAAACGGGCGCUAAUACCGCAUACGUCCUGAGGGAGAAAGUGGGGGAUCUUCGGACCUCACGCUAUCAGAUGAGCCUAGGUCGGAUUAGCUAGUCGGUGGGGUAAAGGCCUACCAAGGCGACGAUCCGUAACUGGUCUGAGAGGAUGAUCAGUCACACUGGAACUGAGACACGGGCCAGACUCCUACGGGAGGCAGCAGUGGGGAAUAUUGGACAAUGGGCGAAAGCCUGAUCCAGCCAUGCCGCGUGUGUGAAGAAGGUCUUCGGAUGGUAAAGCACUUUAAGUUGGGAGGAAGGGCAGUAAGUUAAUACCUUGCUGUUUUGACGUUACCAACAGAAUAAGCACCGGCUAACUUCGUG
rnacentral:rRNA from 1 species